GAUGAACGCUGGCGGCGUGACUAAUAUAUGCAAGUCGAGCGAACGGACGAGAAGCUUGCUUCUCUGAUGUUAGCGGCGGACGGGUGAGUAACACGUGGAUAACCUACCUAUAAGACUGGGAUAACUUCGGGAAACCGGAGCUAAUACCGGAUAAUAUUUUAACCGGAAGGGUCAAAAAUUGAAGGCGGUUUUGCUGGCACUUAUAGCAGGAAUCGCGCUGCAUUAGCUAGUUGGUAAGGUAACGGCUUACCCAGGCAACGAUGCAUAGCCGACCUGAGAGGGUGAUCGGCCACACUGGAACUGAGACACGGUCCAGACUCCUACGGGAGGCAGCAGUAGGGAAUCUUCCGCAAUGGGCGAAAGCCUGACGGAGCAACGCCGCGUGAGUGAUGAAGGUCUUCGGAUCGUAAAACUCUGUUAUUAGGGAAGAACAUAUGUGUAAGUAACUGUGCACAUCUUGACGGUACCUAAUCAGAAAGCCACGGCUAACUACGUG
rnacentral:rRNA from 1 species